AACAAAUCAGUUCCCAAGCAGAUUUAGUGGACAACUGGCUUCAGCCCGAAAGGCACUGCAUGGAGGACUGGCUUCUAGUUCAUGGCCAAAGAACGCAUCUUCGCUGGACUGAAACUGGAAGGGGUUCUCAACCCUGUUCCCAGAGCAGCAGACCUGGUCAUCACAGAGAAUGAUGUGAGUGGGUGCCAGGAGGCUGGACAUCGCUGCUCCUAACCAGAGUGACUGCAGAGGAAUUCCAUUCCGGCUUCACCUUCUGCCUAAGGCUUCAAACGCAGUUGCCACAUUCGUAUUUCUUCAAGCACCCAGCACACAACUGGUUACUGAGAAACACUGAGAAUCAGACCACUCAUGGGCCCAAUUGGGAUGUAUCUUUUACGGUUUCUGUAAUUAUUUUUAAAAUAAAUGAAUUAACUAUGAGCUUCACCCUAGAGGCCAAAUCUCCAGUUCAGUGUUAAGUAGAAUCAAGAUGAGAACUAUUAUUAGCUUCAUAACGGAAAAGGCCAUUUUGCUUUCACAUUCUGGAGCACAGAAAAGGGCUCAGCUUGACAGGCAGAUGAAUAGUGAUUAUAAUGUAACUCUGAGAGGUAUAUCUGGUGCCUGCUCAGUGCCCGGGUGGGUCUGACAGCCCCUCAAUGAGUCACAAGGUUAAAUGGGGUGGACAGAAGCCUGCCCUGAAUGGCACGAGGCUAGCCCAAUGUCAGGGAUGUUCACAGUACAUCCCAUUGAGUCCAAGAAGGAAUUCUCAGUUUCCUCUUCCAUAAUCACAAGCUGUAACGGAUCAGAUAAGCAAGUGUGUCAA
rnacentral:lncRNA from 1 species